AGAUUGAACGCUGGCGGCAGGCCUAACACAUGCAAGUCGAGCGGCAGCACGGGUACUUGUACCUGGUGGCGAGCGGCGGACGGGUGAGUAAUGCCUAGGAAUCUGCCUGAUAGUGGGGGAUAACGCUCGGAAACGGACGCUAAUACCGCAUACGUCCUACGGGAGAAAGCAGGGGACCUUCGGGCCUUGCGCUAUCAGAUGAGCCUAGGUCGGAUUAGCUAGUUGGUGGGGUAAUGGCUCACCAAGGCGACGAUCCGUAACUGGUCUGAGAGGAUGAUCAGUCACACUGGAACUGAGACACGGUCCAGACUCCUACGGGAGCAGCAGUGGGGAAUAUUGGACAAGUGGG
rnacentral:rRNA from 1 species